rnacentral:misc_RNA from 1 species
GCUUAAAUAUGAUCCAGCUGAAAGGAUAUCAGCCAAAGUGGCUAUGGAUCAUCCCUAUUUUGACAAUCUUGACAAGUCUCAAUUUUAAAAUUGCUGCCUGGAAAUUGUACCUUUCUUCUUGGGUGUGUUUUAGGAAUGUGCUUCUAUGUAGUGAAGAAUUGCUCAAAAGAUGCUUUGGUUCAUCAUCUUGGUGAUUUAACAGCUGAACUUUAUCAUAUGAAACAUGUACUUGUACGUUGAAAUCUAUGUUCAAGUGCCUUACUCGGUCUCUAAACUCUUAGAUGCCAGCCGAUGAAAUUGAAGUUCUGGUUUAUUGUAUUUAAAAUUGUUUGAUUUUGUGGAAAAGUGGUUGAAAUGUACUCUAUAGGAUCUGUUACGUGGACUCAGCUGCUGCACUUGGAGGAGAUUUCAAUUAUUGCUUGUUCAAUGAGGGCCACAGCACUGCAUACCUACACAUUGUAAUGAGAAAUUUGGUUUUUGGUUCUGUUGACUCCUAUUAUCAUUUGCAUAUGAUAAAGUUCAUAUGAUUAAUUGAGUUGUGAAUUUAACUGGAUUUGCUUAGACUGCUUCUGAGCUU